UACAGAGGAUGCAAGCGUUAUCCGGAAUUAUUGGGCGUAAAGCGUCUGUAGGUGGCUUUUUAAGUCCGCCGUCAAAUCCCAGGGCUCAACUCUGGACAGGCGGUGGAAACUACCAAGCUGGAGUACGGUAGGGGCAGAGGGAAUUUCCGGUGGAGCGGUGAAAUGCGUAGAGAUCGGAAAGAACAUCGGUGGCGAAGGCGCUCUGCUGGACCAUAACUGACACUCAGGGACGAAAGCUAGGGGAGCGAAUGGG
rnacentral:rRNA from 1 species